UUGAAGAGUUUGAUCAUGGCUCAGAUUGAACGCUGGCGGCAGGCCUAACACAUGCAAGUCGAGCGGUAGCACAGAGAGCUUGCUCUCGGGUGACGAGCGGCGGACGGGUGAGUAAUGUCUGGGAAACUGCCUGAUGGAGGGGGAUAACUACUGGAAACGGUAGCUAAUACCGCAUAACGUCGCAAGACCAAAGUGGGGGACCUUCGGGCCUCAUGCCAUCAGAUGUGCCCAGAUGGGAUUAGCUAGUAGGUGGGGUAACGGCUCACCUAGGCGACGAUCCCUAGCUGGUCUGAGAGGAUGACCAGCCACACUGGAACUGAGACACGGUCCAGACUCCUACGGGAGGCAGCAGUGGGGAAUAUUGCACAAUGGGCGCAAGCCUGAUGCAGCCAUGCCGCGUGUGUGAAGAAGGCCUUCGGGUUGUAAAGCACUUUCAGCGGGGAGGAAGGCGGUGAGGUUAAUAACCUCAUCGAUUGACGUUACCCGCAGAAGAAGCACCGGCUAACUCCGUGCCAGCAGCCGCGGUAAUACGGAGGGUGCAAGCGUUAAUCGGAAUUACUGGGCGUAAAGCGCACGCAGGCGGUCUGUCAAGUCGGAUGUGAAAUCCCCGGGCUUAACCUGGGAACUGCAUUCGAAACUGGCAGGCUAGAGUCUUGUAGAGGGGGGUAGAAUUCCAGGUGUAGCGGUGAAAUGCGUAGAGAUCUGGAGGAAUACCGGUGGCGAAGGCGGCCCCCUGGACAAAGACUGACGCUCAGGUGCGAAAGCGUGGGGAGCAAACAGGAUUAGAUACCGGUAGUCCACGCCGUAAACGAUGUCGAUUUGGAGGUUGUGCCCUUGAGGCGUGGCUUCCGGAGCUAACGCGUUAAAUCGACCGCCUACGGCCGCAAGGUUAAAACUCAAAUGAAUUGACGGGGCCCGCACAAGCGGUGGAGCAUGUGGUUUAAUUCGAUGCAACGCGAAGAACCUUACGGUCUUGACAUCCACAGAACUUUCCAGAGAUGGAUUGGUGCCUUCGGGAACUGUGAGACAGGUGCUGCAUGGCUGUCGUCAGCUCGUGUUGUGAAAUGUUGGGUUAAGUCCCGCAACGAGCGCAACCCUUAUCCUUUGUUGCCAGCGGUCCGGCCGGGAACUCAAAGGAGACUGCCAGUGAUAAACUGGAGGAAGGUGGGGAUGACGUCAAGUCAUCAUGGCCCGACCGGGGCUACACGUGCUACAAUGGCAUAUACAAAGAGAAGCGACCUCGCGAGCAAGCGGACCUCAUAAAGUAUGUCGUAGUCCGGAUUGGAGUCUGCAACUCGACUCCAUGAAGUCGGAAUCGCUAGUAAUCGUGAAUCAGAAUGCUACGGUGAAUACGUUCCCGGGCCUUGUACACACCGCCCGUCACACCAUGGGAGUGGGUUGCAAAAGAAGUAGGUAGCUUAACCUUCGGGAGGGCGCUUACCACUUUGUGAUUCAUGACUGGGGUGAAGUCGUAACAAGGUAACCGUAGGGGAACCUGCGGUUGGAUCACCUCCUU
rnacentral:rRNA from 1 species